UACGAGAGGUGCAAGCGUUAUUCGGAAUUAUUGGGCGUAAAGGGCGCGUAGGCGGCGCACCAAGUCAGGCGUGAAAGCCCUGGGCUCAACCCGGGAAUUGCGCUUGAGACUGGUGUGCUCGAGUACGGGAGAGGAUAGUGGAAUUCCCAGUGUAGAGGUGAAAUUCGUAGAUAUUGGGAAGAACACCGGUGGCGAAGGCGGCUAUCUGGACCGUAACUGACGCUGAGGCGCGAAAGCGUGGGGAGCAAACAGG
rnacentral:rRNA from 1 species